ACAGUGAGCUUAGGGGUUGCCUCCCCAAUCUGGGACUCGGCUCACUUAUUGCAGACCCUGUCUCCCAUGCCUGGUCCUGAGGACAUCUGGAGAAGAUCCCUCACCAACCAACAGGUGGCUUCAGGUGGUGGGGUGCUGGAUGCUUCAUACCCUCGAUCACUGGACUCCAGGUUCUUCAGCUUUUGGACUCUUGGACCUACACCAGUGGUUUGCCAGGGGCUCUCGGGCCUUUGCCACAGACUGAAGGCUGCACUGUUAGCUUCCCUGCUUUUGAGAUUUGGGGACUCGGACUGGCUUCUCUGCUCCUCAGCUUGCAGACGGCCUAUUGUGGAACUUCACCUCGUGACUGUUUCUGGUGACUGGAAGUUCAAGAUCAGAGUGCCAGCAGAUGCAGGUUCUAGUGAGGAUCUUCUUCCUGGUUGCAGACACUGACUUCCUGUAUCAUCAAAUUAUGGAAAGAAAAAAGGUAGGUCAUUGGCCUUUCCUUAUAAGGUCACUAAUCCCCUUCAUGAGGGCUCCACCCUUGUGACCUAAUUACCUCCCAAAGUCCCACCUCCAAGUACCAUCACACUGGAGAUUAGAUUUCAACAUGUGAAUUUUGAGGGGAAAAAAUAUUCAAUCUAUAACAGGGAUCAAAAUUCUGUUCUGAACCUCUCUUCCAUGUGAGAUUGGAACUAGAUACAAGUGCUUGUUAUUUGUCAAAUAUUUGUGAUAUCUUCAACUCAUUUCAUAUUUAGAAGGACAAUUUUUCAACAGGUGGAAAUGAAAUAUUUAAAAGUGUGAUUUCAUAACAUCCUAAGUUAAACACAAAGAAAUGACUGAGAUUGCCAGAGAGCAGGAGCAAAUGUUGGUUGUGGGCACACAUACUCAUUUGUCCAUUUUACAGAAACAUGUAUUGUUAUCUUCGUGUGGAUGUCACAAAGUAGAAGUCUGAUAGAAUAUCUUUUGCCAAGUUGACUUUUGAUCCUGACUACUUUGGAGUCAGUUAUGUCCAGGUCCUUAUCAUCACAGCUGUUCAUAAUUACAGCAUCCCAAUUAGUCUCUCUUCUCCAGUCUAUCCCCAAACUAAUCCAUCCUAUAGAUUGCCAGAAGGCUAAUUGUCCUAGAACAGCGUCAUGUGCCAUAUUGCAUUGUUUUGGUCAAUGACGGACCUCAUAUGCAACAGUGGUUCCCUAAGAUUAUAAUGGAGCUGAACAAUUCCUAUUACCUAGUGACAUUGUAGCACAACACAUUACUCACAUGUUUGUGGUUAUGCUGGUAUAAACACGCCUACUGAGGCCCGGCGCGGUGGCUCACGCCUGUAAUCCCAGCACUUUGGGAGGCCAAGGCGGGCAGAUCGAGACCAUCCUGGCUAACACAGUGAAACCCCGUCUCCACUAAAAAUACAAAAAAUUAGCCAGGCGUGGUGGCAGGCGCCUGUGGUCCCAGCUACCCGGGAGGCUGAGGCAGGAGAAUGGCUUGAACCCGGGAGGCGGAGCUGGCAGUGGGUGGAGAUCGUGCCACUGCACUCCAGCCCGGGCGGCAGAGUGAGACUCCAUCUCAAAAAAACAAACAAACAAACAAACAAAAAAACCACACCUACUGAGCUGUCAGUCAUAUAGAAUAUAGUACCAACAAUUAUGUACAUUCAGUACAUAAUGAUUGAUAAGGAUAACAAAUGACUAUGUUACUGGUUUAUGUAUUCAUUAUACUAUACUUUUUAUUGUUAUUUUAGAAUGUACUCUUACUUUAAAAAAAGUUAACUAUAAAACAGCUUCAGGCAAGUCCUUUAGGAGGUAUUAUAGAAGAAGGCACUGGUAUAAGAAAUGGCAGCUCCAGGCCAGGCGCAGUGGCUCACGCCUGUAAUCCCAGCAGUUUGGGAGGCCGAGGUGGGUGGAUCACCUGAGGUCAGGAGUUUGAGACCAGCCUGGCCAACAUGGUGAAACCCUGCCUCUAUUAAAAAUAUAAAAAUUUAGCUGGGUGUGAUGACACACGCCUGUAAUCCCAGCUACUUGGGAGGCUGAGGCAGGAGAAUUGCUUGAACCCGGGAGGUG
ensembl:lncRNA novel transcript